ensembl:lncRNA
CUCUUCUCUUUCUGCCCUCAAUCUUUUCCAGGGCAUCAGGGACUUUUUCAAUGAGUCAUCUGUUCACGUCAGAUGACCAAAAUACUGGAGCUUAAGCUUCAGUAUCAGUCCUUCCAGUGAAUAUUCAGGGUUGAUCUCCUGUAAGAUUGACUUGUUUGAUCGCCAUUCUCCAAGGGGCUUUCAGGAGUCCUCUCAAGUACCACAGUUUGCAGGCAGUAGGUUCCUUGAGGGCAGAGACCAGGCCUCUUCACCUUGGCAUCAUUACUGCCCUGUAUCAUCCCUGACUCAUUGGAAGAGAGCUGACUUAUUGGGAAAAAAAAAAAAAAAAAACAAAAAAAAACAAAAAACCUGAUGCUGAGAAAGAUAGAAGGUGUGGGAGAAAGGGAUGACAGAGGACCAGAUGUUUGGAUGGCAUCACCGACUCAAUGGACAUAAGUUUAAGCAAGCUCUGGGAGAUGGUAAAGGACAGGGAGGCCUGGCAUGCUGCAGUCCGUGGGGUCACAAAGAGCUGGACAUGACUGAGCGGCUGAACAACCGCAAAUCAUCCCUGACAGAUAGCAGACAGAUUCUCCAAACUUCCAACACAAACAGAACAGUGUUUUCCUGCCUCUGGAGUCCUUGAGCAAUGUUUGGCUGAGAGACCCACGAGAGGAGUGUUACAAGUGUGAUCUCGGCAGGCUGGGUGCCUAGGACUGCCUCCUUCCUGCACCCGCUCUCCAGCCUGGGCCCACGGCCAAGAGCACCAGAGUUCACCAGAAAGACAAACACUGAGACGCUCCCCAAACACUUGGACUUUAAUUUGCUUCAUGAAAUGCCAGGUUAUUUUCUUUUUCUGGCAGAAUUGGUUGCGCCUCCUCCAAUCUCACAGUCCUGCUCCUGGUAGCAGUUUUCUCGGAAUCUCACCAGUUCAAUUUCAUCUAUCUAUCUAUCUAUCUAUGCAUGCUGU